UACGUAGGGUGCAAGCGUUGUCCGGAAUUAUUGGGCGUAAAGAGCUCGUAGGCGGCUGUUCAAGUCGAACGUGAAAACUCGGGGCUUAACCCCGAGCCUGCAGUGGAUACGGGCAGACUAGAGGUAGGUAGGGGAGAAUGGAAUUCCCGGUGUAGCGGUAGAAAUGCGCAGAUAGUCGGGAGGAACACCGGUGGCGAAGGCGGUUCUCUGGGCCUUACCUGACGCUGAGGAGCGAAAGCGUGGGGAGCGAACAGG
rnacentral:rRNA from 1 species